CAACAGGAAGCAAGCGGGCGACGUUAAGCAAAUCCUUAAAAGAUACCUCAGUUCGGAUUGCACUAUGCAACUCGAAGUGCAUGAAGCUGGAAUUACUAGUAAUCGUGGAUCAGCGUGCCACGGUGAAUGCGUUCCCGGGUCUUGUACACACCGCCCGUCACACCAUGGGAGUUGGUUCUACCUUAAGGCAAGGUUUUAAACCCUUGAACACGGUAUAGUCAGCGACUGGGGUGAAGUCGUAACAAGGUAGCCGUAGGGGAACCUGCGGCUGGAUUACCUCCUUUCUAAGGAUGAAUGAAACAAAAAUUUCAUUCUAAAUAAUAUACACGGAUAAUGUUGACCGUCCUCAUUUCUCUUCUUAAAAUAGUGUUUCUCUUGCAUGGGGGCCGGUAGCUCAGUUGGUUAGAGCACACCCUUGAUAAGGGUGGGGUCGAAAGUUCGAGUCUUUCUCGGCCCACCAAUUAAAGAUCAUGGGGGAUUAGCUCAGCUGGGAGAGCGCCUGAUUUGCAUUCAGGAGGUCAGCGGUUCGAUCCCGCUAUCCUCCACCAAGACACUUAGUUAUAAAAAUCGUGAAUAAAUAAUUAUUAAUAUCAAUAUCUAUAUCCGAACAUUAGAAAUGUUAUUAGCUAAUGUUCAAAAUAAAAAUUUGAUUCAACACAGAAUUUUUUUCUGUGCAUAAAUCAAGCGUUUAGGGGCGUGUAGUGGAUGCCUUGGCACUGAAAGCCGAUGAAAGACGUGAUAUACUGCGAUAAGUUUCGGGGAG
rnacentral:misc_RNA from 1 species